rnacentral:rRNA from 1 species
GCUUACACAUGCAAGUCGAGCGGUAAGGCCCCUUCGGGGGUACACGAGCGGCGAACGGGUGAGUAACACGUGAGCAACCUACCCUCAACUUUGGGAUAAGCCUCGGAAACGGGGUCUAAUACCGGAUAAUACUGACCGUCUCCUGGUGGUUGGUUGAAAGUUCUGGCGGUUGGGGAUGGGCUCGCGGCCUAUCAGCUUGUUGGUGGGGUAAUGGCCUACCAAGGCGUCGACGGGUAGCCGGCCUGAGAGGGCGACCGGCCACACUGGGACUGAGACACGGCCCAGACUCCUACGGGAGGCAGCAGUGGGGAAUAUUGCGCAAUGGACGAAAGUCUGACGCAGCAACGCCGCGUGAGGGAUGACGGCCUUCGGGUUGUAAACCUCUUUCAGCAGGGACGAAGCGAGAGUGACGGUACCUGCAGAAGAAGGACCGGCCAACUACGUGCCAGCAGCCGCGGUAAUACGUAGGGUCCGAGCGUUGUCCGGAAUUAUUGGGCGUAAAGGGCUCGUAGGCGGUUCGUCACGUCGGGAGUGAAAACUCGGGGCUUAACCCCGAGCCUGCUUCCGAUACGGGCAGACUAGAGGUAGGCAGGGGAGAGCGGAACUCCUGGUGUAGCGGUGGAAUGCGCAGAUAUCAGGAAGAACACCGGUGGCGAAGGCGGCUCUCUGGGCCUUACCUGACGCUGAGGAGCGAAAGCGUGGGUAGCGAACAGGAUUAGAUACCCUGGUAGUCCACGCCGUAUACGUUGGGCGCUAGGUGUGGGGGACAUUCCACGUCCUCCGUGCCGCAGCUAACGCA